rnacentral:siRNA from 1 species
GGUGCUGUGGUGUAGUGGUUA